rnacentral:lncRNA from 1 species
GGUGGCGGUCCUUGAGCUGGAAAGCAGGAACCCUGGCUUAUUGCGUGGUCCCCCCCACCACCACCACCCCACGCCUUCCGUAGCACGAGCUUUAAUCAUUUACUAUGAAACCGGUAACUAAGGGAGAUACAGCGUGUUGAACCACUGAAGCACGCCCCUCCACACACACACCAGCCAGAAAAAGGAUACCCCGUCGGCUCCGGACCCGGCAAAUGUACCUGGGCUCCCCCUGGAGGCCACAUUCUCCGAGGUCGCCUUUCGGUCCCCAAUGUUCCUCAAAGGUAUUCCGUUGUAAUCCCGGAGAACUGAUACACACUAGUGCUCUGAAACUUGGCCUGUGCUCGAGGCGGCAACCCCUGCCCCUCUGCCUGGCGAUGCCGGAACACACCCAUCUGGCCAGGUCCUGUUCACUGGCCAAGAAUGCAGCAUUGAACACUGGGCAUUGGGGCGGGGGUGCACUCUGCGCUGACACCGCACCCCUCCCCUCAACUUGCUGACUAGAGGAGGCCUGAACUCUCAAACUCCGAAUCUGAUUUCCACUCUCCCAGGAAGUCUUCGGAAAUCACUGUGGAUUGUCAAUACAGGAGUCCAUACUGACUGAAUCCCUAAUUUUGGCCUGUAUUCUUCUCCCUCUGUGAACCAUCUUCUUAGAAGUCACUGAACCAAGAGUGCCAGAAAACCAUCCCAAGACUCACACAGAGUUGUUCUUCCAUAGUGGAUGUUUUGGCCACUGGACAUCAGAACCACAUUUUGGGUUUGAAGAAUCUUCUACAUGCCCAGCGGAGAAUGAUCAGCUGAAUGGGACUGGGGCGGAAGCCAGGAGCAGAGGGAGGAAAUGCACCCAAGCUGGAGAGCCC